CAGCAGCCGCGGUAAUACGUAGGUGGCAAGCGUUGUCCGGAAUUAUUGGGCGUAAAGGGCUCGCAGGCGGUUUCUUAAGUCUGAUGUGAAAGCCCCCGGCUCAACCGGGGAGGGUCAUUGGAAACUGGGAAACUUGAGUGCAGAAGAGGAGAGUGGAAUUCCACGUGUAGCGGUGAAAUGCGUAGAGAUGUGGAGGAACACCAGUGGCGAAGGCGACUCUCUGGUCUGUAACUGACGCUGAGGAGCGAAGGCGUGGGGAGCGAACAGGAUUAGAUACCCGAGUAGUCCCUGUCUCUUAUAC
rnacentral:rRNA from 1 species